UACGAAGGGGGCUAGCGUUGUUCGGAAUUACUGGGCGUAAAGCGCGCGCAGGCGGUCUUCCAAGUCAGUGGUGAAAGCCCGGAGCUCAACUCCGGAACUGCCAUUGAAACUGUAAGGCUUGAGGAUGAGAGAGGUGAGCGGAAUUCCCAGUGUAGAGGUGAAAUUCGUAGAUAUUGGGAAGAACACCGGUGGCGAAGGCGGCUCACUGGCUCAUUACUGACGCUCAGGCGCGACAGCGUGGGGAUCAAACAGG
rnacentral:rRNA from 1 species